AUCCGGUUGAUAAAUCUCAAACAGGGCGAAACACGCGUCCUGGAU
rfam:Schistosoma rodhaini strain Burundi genome assembly, scaffold: SROB_scaffold0000500